rnacentral:rRNA from 1 species
GGGUUGUGAGGUUAAGCGACUAAGCGUACACGGUGGAUGCCCUGGCAGUCAGAGGCGAUGAAGGACGUGCUAAUCUGCGAAAAGCGUCGGUAAGGUGAUAUGAACCGUUACAGCCGGCGAUGUCCGAAUGGGGAAACCCAGUGUGAUUCGUCACACUAUCGUUAACUGAAUACAUAGGUUAACGAGGCGAACCGGGGGAACUGAAACAUCUAAGUACCCCGAGGAAAAGAAAUCAACCGAGAUUCCCCCAGUAGCGGCGAGCGAACGGGGAGCAGCCCAGAGUCUGAAUCAGCUUGUGUGUUAGUGGAACGGUCUGGAAAGUCCGACGGUACAGGGUGAUAGUCCCGUACACCAAAAUGCACAGGCUGUGAACUCGAAGAGUAGGGCGGGACACGUGGUAUCCUGUCUGAAUAUGGGGGGACCAUCCUCCAAGGCUAAAUACUCCUGACUGACCGAUAGUGAACCAGUACCGUGAGGGAAAGGCGAAAAGAACCCCGGCGAGGGGAGUGAAAAAGAACCUGAAACCGUGUACGUACAAGCAGUGGGAGCACCUUCGGGUGUGACUGCGUACCUUUUGUAUAAUGGGUCAGCGACUUAUAUUCUGUAGCAAGGUUAACCGUAUAGGGGAGCCGCAGGGAAACCGAGUCUUAACUGGGCGUUAAGUUGCAGGGUAUAGACCCGAAACCCGGUGAUCUAGCCAUGGGCAGGUUGAAGGUUGGGUAACACUAACUGGAGGACCGAACCGACUAAUGUUGAAAAAUUAGCGGAUGACUUGUGGCUGGGGGUGAAAGGCCAAUCAAACCGGGAGAUAGCUGGUUCUCCCCGAAAGCUAUUUAGGUAGCGCCUCGUGAAUUCAUCUUCGGGGGUAGAGCACUGUUUCGGCUAGGGGGUCAUCCCGACUUACCAACCCGAUGCAAACUACGAAUACCGAAGAAUGUUAUCACGGGAGACACACGGCGGGUGCUAACGUCCGUCGUGAAGAGGGAAACAACCCAGACCGCCAGCUAAGGUCCCAAAGUCAUGGUUAAGUGGGAAACGAUGUGGGAAGGCACAGACAGCCAGGAUGUUGGCUUAGAAGCAGCCAUCAUUUAAAGAAAGCGUAAUAGCUCACUGGUCGAGUCGGCCUGCGCGGAAGAUGUAACGGGGCUAAACCAUGCACCGAAGCUGCGGCAGCGACACUAUGUGUUGUUGGGUAGGGGAGCGUUCUGUAAGCCUGCGAAGGUGACCUGUGAGGGUUGCUGGAGGUAUCAGAAGUGCGAAUGCUGACAUAAGUAACGAUAAAGCGGGUGAAAAGCCCGCUCGCCGGAAGACCAAGGGUUCCUGUCCAACGUUAAUCGGGGCAGGGUGAGUCGACCCCUAAGGCGAGGCCGAAAGGCGUAGUCGAUGGGAAACAGGUUAAUAUUCCUGUACUUGGUGUUACUGCGAAGGGGGACGGAGAAGGCUAUGUUAGCCGGGCGACGGUUGUCCCGGUUUAAGCAUGUAGGCUGGUUAUCCAGGCAAAUCCGGAUAAUCAAGGCUGAGGUGUGAUGACGAGGCACUACGGUGCUGAAGUAACAAAUGCCCUGCUUCCAGGAAAAGCCUCUAAGCAUCAGGUAACAUUAAAUCGUACCCCAAACCGACACAGGUGGUCAGGUAGAGAAUACCAAGGCGCUUGAGAGAACUCGGGUGAAGGAACUAGGCAAAAUGGUGCCGUAACUUCGGGAGAAGGCACGCUGGUGUGUAGGUGAAGUCCCUGCGGAUGGAGCUGAGACCAGUCGAAGAUACCAGCUGGCUGCAACUGUUUAUUAAAAACACAGCACUGUGCAAACACGAAAGUGGACGUAUACGGUGUGACGCCUGCCCGGUGCCGGAAGGUUAAUUGAUGGGGUUAUCCGUAAGGAGAAGCUCUUGAUCGAAGCCCCGGUAAACGGCGGCCGUAACUAUAACGGUCCUAAGGUAGCGAAAUUCCUUGUCGGGUAAGUUCCGACCUGCACGAAUGGCGUAAUGAUGGCCAGGCUGUCUCCACCCGAGACUCAGUGAAAUUGAACUCGCUGUGAAGAUGCAGUGUACCCGCGGCAAGACGGAAAGACCCCGUGAACCUUUACUAUAGCUUGACACUGAACAUUGAGCCUUGAUGUGUAGGAUAGGUGGGAGGCUUUGAAGCGUGGACGCCAGUCUGCGUGGAGCCGACCUUGAAAUACCACCCUUUAAUGUUUGAUGUUCUAACGUUGGCCCCUUACCGGGGUUGCGGACAGUGUCUGGUGGGUAGUUUGACUGGGGCGGUCUCCUCCCAAAGCGUAACGGAGGAGCACGAAGGUUAGCUAAUCCUGGUCGGACAUCAGGAGGUUAGUGCAAUGGCAUAAGCUAGCUUGACUGCGAGCGUGACGGCGCGAGCAGGUGCGAAAGCAGGUCAUAGUGAUCCGGUGGUUCUGAAUGGAAGGGCCAUCGCUCAACGGAUAAAAGGUACUCCGGGGAUAACAGGCUGAUACCGCCCAAGAGUUCAUAUCGACGGCGGUGUUUGGCACCUCGAUGUCGGCUCAUCACAUCCUGGGGCUGAAGUAGGUCCCAAGGGUAUGGCUGUUCGCCAUUUAAAGUGGUACGCGAGCUGGGUUUAGAACGUCGUGAGACAGUUCGGUCCCUAUCUGCCGUGGGCGCUGGAGAAUUGAGGGGGGCUGCUCCUAGUACGAGAGGACCGGAGUGGACGCAUCACUGGUGUUCGGGUUGUCAUGCCAAUGGCACUGCCCGGUAGCUAAAUGCGGAAGAGAUAAGUGCUGAAAGCAUCUAAGCACGAAACUUGCCCCGAGAUGAGUUCUCCCUGAGACUUUAAGUCUCCUGAAGGAACGUUGAAGACGACGACGUUGAUAGGCCGGGUGUGUAAGCGCAGCGAUGCGUUGAGCUAACCGGUACUAAUGAACCGUGAGGCUUAACCUUACAACGCCGAAG